rnacentral:rRNA from 1 species
UAGGGAAUAUUGGACAAUGGGGGCAACCCUGAUCCAGCCAUGCCGCGUGAGUGAAGAAGGCCCUCGGGUUGUAAAGCUCUUUUGUCCGGAAAGAAAAGCAUUCGGUGAAUACCCGGAUGUUCUGACGGUACCGGAAGAAUAAGCACCGGCUAACUUCGUGCCAGCAGCCGCGGUAAUACGAAGGGUGCAAGCGUUACUCGGAAUUACUGGGCGUAAAGCGUGGGUAGGUGGUUGUUUAAGUCUGAUGUGAAAGCCCUGGGCUCAACCGGGGAAUGGCAUUGGAAACUGGGCAGCUAGAGUGCGGUAGAGGGUAGUGGAAUUCCCGGUGUAGCAGUGAAAUGCGUAGAGAUCGGGAGGAACAUCUGUGGCGAAGGCGACUGCCUGGACCAGCACUGACACUGAGGCACGAAAGCGUGGGGAGCAAACA